rnacentral:rRNA from 1 species
GACGAACGCUGGCGGCGUGCUUAACACAUGCAAGUCGAACGGAAAGGCCCUGCGUUUGUGGGGUGCUCGAGUGGCGAACGGGUGAGUAACACGUGAGUAACCUGCCCUUGACUUUGGGAUAACUUCAGGAAACUGGGGCUAAUACCGGGUAUGAGCUCCUGCUGCAUGGUGGUGGUUGGAAAGAUUCGGCGGUUGGGGAUGGACUCGCGGCUUAUCAGCUGGUUGGGGGGGUAGUGGCUUACCACGGUUUUGACGGGUAGCCGGCCUGAGAGGGUGACCGGCCACAUUGGGACUGAGAGACGACCCAGACUCCUACGGGAGGCAGCAGUGGAGAAUAUUGCACAAUGGGCGGAAGCCUGAUGCAGCAACGCCGCGUGCGGGAAGACGGCCUUCGGGGUGUAAACCACUUUCGCCUGUGCCGAGGCGUGAGUGACGGUAAUGGGUAAAGAAGCACCGGCUAACUACGUG